CUCAUCCUUUGACUAGCAGCUCAUAUUUAAUGUUUCUAAACAUAAAGAACUGUUUUAAGUAUUUGAUAUUAAUGGUGUAAAUUCAUUUAUUGUAAUUGACAGGUGUGAUGAUCAGUGGACUUGAGUUUUUACCUCCAUUGUUUUGAUGUGG